rnacentral:rRNA from 1 species
UACGUAGGUGGCAAGCGUUGUCCGGAUUUACUGGGUGUAAAGGGCGCGUAGGCGGGACGGCAAGUCAGAUGUGAAAUCUAUGGGCUCAACUCAUAAACUGCAUUUGAAACUGUCGUUCUUGAGUAUCGGAGAGGCAAGCGGAAUUCCUAGUGUAGCGGUGAAAUGCGUAGAUAUUAGGAGGAACACCAGUGGCGAAGGCGGCUUGCUGGACGACAACUGACGCUGAGGCGCGAAAGUGCGGGUAUCGAAC